rnacentral:rRNA from 1 species
CUACGGGUGGCACCAGGCGAGAAAACUUUGCAAUGUGCGAAAGCACGACAAGGUUAAUCCGAGUGGUUUCUGCUAAAGGAACCUUUUGACAGUCCUAGAAACACUGUUGAAUAAGUGGUGGGCAAGUUCUGGUGUCAGCCGCCGCGGUAAAACCAGCACCUCAAGUUGUCAGGAUGAUUAUUGGGCCUAAAGCAUCCGUAGCCGGCUCUGUAAGUUUUCGGUUAAAUCUGUACGCUCAACGUACAGGCUGCCGGGAAUACUGCAGAGCUAGGGAGUGGGAGAGGUAGACGGUACUCGGUAGGAAGGGGUAAAAUCCUUUGAUCUAUUGAUGACCACCUGUGGCGAAGGCGGUCUACCAGAACACGUCCGACGGUGAGGGAUGAAAGCUGGGGGAGCAAACCGGAUUAGAUACCCUAGUAGUC